UGCCACACAGAGUAAUGUCAUCAACAUAC
rnacentral:piRNA from 1 species